UAGCCUUUUCCGCCUAUAUACCGCCGUCGUCAGCUUACCCUGUGAAGGACUAAUAGUAAGCGCAAUUGGUAAAACCCAAAACGUCAGGCCGAGGUGUAGUGCAUGAGAGGGGAAGAAAUGGGCUACAUUCGCUGCUCAUCAGCGAAUAACGAAUGAUGCAUUGAAACAUGCAGCUGAAGGAGGAUUUAGCAGUAAGCAGAAAGUAGAGUGUUCCGCUGAAACCGGCUCUUAAGCGCGCACACACCGCCCGUCACCCUCCCCAAGCUCCUGGACCCCAACAGUACUUCAAACCCCAACAAAUGCGAAGGAGAGGAAAGUCGUAACAUGGUAAGCGUACCGGAAGGUGCGCUUGGUAAAAU
rnacentral:rRNA from 1 species